GCCUGUGAGCCCCUCUUGCCUCGCCUCCUCGCCCACCAUGCUGUCGUGUUCGUGGCCGUGGUGUCGGCUGCUGCAGGGGGUGACGGCCUGCCGGCAGGGGGCGCAGUGUGGGAUCCAACGGGAAGGGCC